rnacentral:rRNA from 1 species
GACGUAGGGCGCGAGCGUUGUCCGGAUUUAUUGGGCGUAAAGAGCUCGUAGGCGGCUCAUUGCGUCAACCGUGAAAACCAGCAGCUCAACUGUUGGCUUGCGGUUGAUACGGGUGGGCUGGAGUUCGGUAGGGGAGACUGGAAUCCCUGGUGUAGCGGUGAAAUGCGCAGAUAUCAGGAGGAACACCGGUGGCGAAGGCGGGUCUCUGGGCCGAUACUGACGCUGAGGAGCGAAAGCGUGGGGAGCGAACAGG